rnacentral:rRNA from 1 species
UUUUAUGGAGAGUUUGAUCCUGGCUCAGGAUGAACGCUGGCGGCGUGCCUAAUACAUGCAAGUCGAGCGAACGGACGAGAAGCUUGCUUCUCUGAUGUUAGCGGCGGACGGGUGAGUAACACGUGGAUAACCUACCUAUAAGACUGGGAUAACUUCGGGAAACCGGAGCUAAUACCGGAUAAUAUUUUGAACCGCAUGGUUCAAAAGUGAAAGACGGUCUUGCUGUCACUUAUAGAUGGAUCCGCGCUGCAUUAGCUAGUUGGUAAGGUAACGGCUUACCAAGGCAACGAUACGUAGCCGACCUGAGAGGGUGAUCGGCCACACUGGAACUGAGACACGGUCCAGACUCCUACGGGAGGCAGCAGUAGGGAAUCUUCCGCAAUGGGCGAAAGCCUGACGGAGCAACGCCGCGUGAGUGAUGAAGGUCUUCGGAUCGUAAAACUCUGUUAUUAGGGAAGAACAUAUGUGUAAGUAACUGUGCACAUCUUGACGGUACCUAAUCAGAAAGCCACGGCUAACUACGUGCCAGCAGCCGCGGUAAUACGUAGGUGGCAAGCGUUAUCCGGAAUUAUUGGGCGUAAAGCGCGCGUAGGCGGUUUUUUAAGUCUGAUGUGAAAGCCCACGGCUCAACCGUGGAGGGUCAUUGGAAACUGGAAAACUUGAGUGCAGAAGAGGAAAGUGGAAUUCCAUGUGUAGCGGUGAAAUGCGCAGAGAUAUGGAGGAACACCAGUGGCGAAGGCGACUUUCUGGUCUGUAACUGACGCUGAUGUGCGAAAGCGUGGGGAUCAAACAGGAUUAGAUACCCUGGUAGUCCACGCCGUAAACGAUGAGUGCUAAGUGUUAGGGGGUUUCCGCCCCUUAGUGCUGCAGCUAACGCAUUAAGCACUCCGCCUGGGGAGUACGACCGCAAGGUUGAAACUCAAAGGAAUUGACGGGGACCCGCACAAGCGGUGGAGCAUGUGGUUUAAUUCGAAGCAACGCGAAGAACCUUACCAAAUCUUGACAUCCUUUGACAACUCUAGAGAUAGAGCCUUCCCCUUCGGGGGACAAAGUGACAGGUGGUGCAUGGUUGUCGUCAGCUCGUGUCGUGAGAUGUUGGGUUAAGUCCCGCAACGAGCGCAACCCUUAAGCUUAGUUGCCAUCAUUAAGUUGGGCACUCUAAGUUGACUGCCGGUGACAAACCGGAGGAAGGUGGGGAUGACGUCAAAUCAUCAUGCCCCUUAUGAUUUGGGCUACACACGUGCUACAAUGGACAAUACAAAGGGCAGCGAAACCGCGAGGUCAAGCAAAUCCCAUAAAGUUGUUCUCAGUUCGGAUUGUAGUCUGCAACUCGACUACAUGAAGCUGGAAUCGCUAGUAAUCGUAGAUCAGCAUGCUACGGUGAAUACGUUCCCGGGUAUUGUACACACCGCCCGUCACACCACGAGAGUUUGUAACACCCGAAGCCGGUGGAGUAACCUUUUAGGAGCUAGCCGUCGAAGGUGGGACAAAUGAUUGGGGUGAAGUCGUAACAAGGUAGCCGUAUCGGAAGGUGCGGCUGGAUCACCUCCUUUCU